ACAAUUGAAGUGUGUUCCCAGCCCGGUACAAAGUUCCACCCCUGUGGGCUGUGAGAAACGCACUUAGAGUCUGAAAGACUGAAAGCACACGUUACUUUCUAGCUACAGUGGAGAGGUGAGGACCGCAGCCCCUGGGCAUGAAGAGAGGCAGCGGCAUCUUCUUCUCCUGUGCUGUUUCCAUGGCAAUGCGGGGCUUGUUUUACAACCUCUCUCCCAGAGGCGAUGAGGCCAAGCCUGUGACCUCACAGUGGUUUCAGAUGUUUGCAGGAAGGGCGAUCACACAAAAGGUGUGCUUGGGGAAAACCUGGCACACUUAUGGCACCUGUGGGUCUUCUUAGGCUUCUACUUGGAUCUAGGUGCAGUCUUGUUAGGAAUAAAGGGAAACACAGGAAAUCGUCCCACUCAUUCCUCACUCCCUCUGGCUGCUGUGGAGCUCAGGUGUAUUACAGGAAGCUGCCACACUGUGAGGCACCACAGCAGCCUCCGGAGAAGAAAUGAGUUCCUGGUCACAGCGUGGUCUGGAGGCAGCCUGUGGAAAGCUGGCUCUGUGGGACUGUCACCUGGAGGGGUCACUUGCCUCAUGUCACUCAUCAGUUCUCCCAGCAGCAGAGCAAUGAGCUCUGCCCAAAGAGAAGACUCAGGAGCAGGGAGAGCAGUGUGAGAGCAGCCCUGGGAGGUGAUAUGCAACAAGUUUGCAAGAAAAAUGACAGUGCUUCUUGACUAGAACAAGGAAGCAAAGAGGUCCUGCAGACAGGCAGCUUUGGCCCCAGUAGGGGAGGAUGCAUCGGAGAGGACACGGUGAGGACUUGGUGGCCGCAGGUGACCUGAGCCAUGCGGAGGCUGAGAGCUACGGAGUUUCUCUGCACCUAGACCCACACCCAGCCUCUGCAAUUUUCCCACUGAAUCUCGACUUGCAUAACCCAGCUCCACGCUUCCUCUGCUCUUGAAUUUUAUUUGUCUUGCAUACCGAGUGCAGCACUGUGGUACUGCCAUCUGGAGAGACAGCAUUAGCAAUGGCCACAGACCAGCCUUACUAAAAGCAGCUGAAAAGUGAAGAUAUUGGGCCACUGUGCAAAGGUCCGCAGGUGAUCAUGACACGGCCUGGCUAAGGGAAAGUCUUCAUCCUUCCUAUUGGGUCAAAAAGAGAGUCUGCUUCAGUGCUACACAGUUCCAGCUCAGCAGGGUGCUCAUCUUCCUGCCUAUUGACCUGGCCACUUUCUGACCAAGGAAAUUCAGCUUAAAAGGUCGUGCUCCUGUUCUAUGUAAGGCACAAUAAGGAUUGGAGAAUUCACUUUGAUGAUCUUCGGUAAUGGAUACUGGUAAGCCACUCUGCACAACCUCACUGCAAUAAAGAGCUCAUCCAAGAUUAUUUCGAGAGUGAAGGAGAAACCAACACUGAUUUUUCAGAACUAAGGCUGGGUGAGACAGUGCAGAGGGUUAAACCGCUCAGCAUGCAGAUGAGUUGAUUCUGCAUGAAGAAUGAGAUGAUCUCUUUACUUUUCUCUGGUUCAUCACAAGAACAUCCUUUUCCACUUGGCUGACAAGGACCAGUGGCUGUGUGAAGCCCGCUGCGGCCACUCAUUUCCCACAAGCAGGGGCUCACCUGCUCCCCAAAGCCUUCACGCUCUAAGGUACAAGUGUCUAAGGACACCAGUGAGGAGCAUGAUUUCAGUUAUGUUUUUCCUCAUUCACACUGGAAUUUCUGGAUAUUUUCCCCUCCUUCAAGUAGAAAAGGGAACAAGUUCAGUGAUUGAAAAAUAUUCGGUUCCUUUGAAAAUUCAUGUAAUAGAGCACAUUACAUUCUUUAAGUUCUCCAACUACUGUCCAAUACAGGGGUGCUCUUUACUAUCACAUAUGAUUUUAUUAUAUUCCCUGAACUGAAGGGUUACACUGAAGAAGAUAGUUACAUCUCUCUAUGCCUGUUAGUUUAUAUCUGUAUCUACCUAUCUACAUGUUAAUUUACUAAAACACAUGUAACAUAGUUUAAUAUAAACUAUAGAUAAACAGUACAUAGAUUGGGGAAAUGAAAUCUAUUAAUUCAUAUGUAAUUUACUAUAUUAGUAGCUAACCAAUGUAUGGCACAUAUCAAUUUAUUAAUUUAAUAUGCUAUGUCUAUAGCAAUAUCUAUAAUUUGAUAGAUUAGAUGUAUGGAUCUAAUCUACGGAAGAGACAGCUCGAUGGAUGAAUAUAUAGUAUAUGCACAAACAUACCUACACAGAAGCUGAAAUAAAAAAUUCUAC